AUGCACGCUGGCGGCGUGCCUAAUACCUGCAAGUCGAGCGAACGGACGAGAAGCUUGCUUCUCUGAUGUUAGCGGCGGACGGGUGAGUAACACGUGGAUAACCUACCUAUAAGACUGGGAUAACUUCGGGAAACCGGGGCUAAUACCGGAUAAUAUUUUGAACCGCAUGGUUCAAAAGUGAAAGACGGUCUUGCUGUCACUUAUAGAUGGAUCCGCGCUGCAUUAGCUAGUUGGUAAGGUAACGGCUUACCAAGGCAACGAUGCAUAGCCGACCUGAGAGGGGGAUCGGCCACACUGGAACUGAGACACGGUCCAGACUCCUACGGGAGGCAGCAGUAGGGAAUCUUCCGCAAUGGGCGAAAGCCUGACGGAGCAACGCCGCGUGAGUGAUGAAGGUCUUCGGAUCGUAAAACUCUGUUAUUAGGGAAGAACAUAUGUGUAAGUAACUGUGCACAUCUUGACGGUACCUAAUCAGAAAGCCACGGCUAACUACGUG
rnacentral:rRNA from 1 species